rnacentral:rRNA from 1 species
CCUACGGGAGGCAGCAGUGGGGAAUAUUGCACAAUGGGCGCAAGCCUGAUGCAGCCAUGCCGCGUGUGUGAAGAAGGCCUUCGGGUUGUAAAGCACUUUCAGCGGGGAGGAAGGCAGUGAGGUUAAUAACCUCAUCGAUUGACGUUACCCGCAGAAGAAGCACCGGCUAACUCCGUGCCAGCAGCCGCGGUAAUACGGAGGGUGCAAGCGUUAAUCGGAAUUACUGGGCGUAAAGCGCACGCAGGCGGUCUGUCAAGUCGGAUGUGAAAUCCCCGGGCUCAACCGGGGAACUGCAUUCGAAACUGGCAGGCUAGAGUCUUGUAGAGGGGGGUAGAAUUCCAGGUGUAGCGGUGAAAUGCGUAGAGAUCUGGAGGAAUACCGGUGGCGAAGGCGGCCCCCUGGACAAAGACUGACGCUCAGGUGCGAAAGCGUGGGGAGCAAACAGGAUUAGAUACCCGAGUAGUC